CAUGGAGGGUGAGAAUCCCGUCUUUGACACGGACCCCAGUGCUUUGUGAUGCGCUCUCAAAGAGUCGAGUUGUUUGGGAAUGCAGCUCAAAAUGGGUGGUGAAUUCCAUCUAAAGCUAAAUAUUGGCGAGAGACCGAUAGCGGACAAGUACCGUGAGGGAAAGAUGAAAAGAACUUUGAAAAGAGAGUUAAAUAGUACGUGAAAUUGUUGAAAGGGAAACGAUUGAAGCCAGUCGUACCUGCGGGUAAUCAGCCUUUCGGGUGUGAUUAUGUGGAGCGUGAGGAGCUAAUCGCCUUCAUCUUUGCAUAUUCGUGCACUUUGGGUGUACUUGCUCGUGUGGUAGGUUAACAUCAAUUUUGAUCGUCAUAAAAUGACUGGAGGAAUGUAGCUUCGAUCUUGUAUUGAAGUGUUAUAGCCUUUGGUAGAUGUGAUGAUUAGGAUUGAGGAUUGCAACGGACCCUUCGGGGCUACCUGUCUGAUCUCUGAAAGUUGCUUUGGUGCUGAAAGCUUGCUUAUGGUAUCAAAGUUGAUAUUCAAUAGGUUAGAACGGGAUAAAUUCGUUAAGGAUGUUGACGUAAUGG
rnacentral:rRNA from 1 species